rnacentral:rRNA from 1 species
UUGAAAGGGAAACGAUUGAAGUCAGUCGUACCUGCGGACAAUCAGCCUUUCGGGUGCGAUUAUGUGGAGCGUGGGGAGCUAAACGCCUUCAUGCCUGCAUAUUCGUGCACUUUGGGUGUACUUGCCCGUGUGGUAGGUUAACAUCAAUUUCGGAUAUCAUAAAAUGGCUGGAGGAAUGUAGCUUCGGUCUCGUACUGAAGUGUUAUAGCCUUCGGCAGAUAUGGUGACCGGGAUUGAGGAUUGCAACGGAUACCUUUUGGGCUACCCGCCUGAUCUCUGAAAGUUGCUCUGGUGCCGAAAGCUUGCUUACGGUUAUCAAAGUUGACGUUCAAAAGGUUAGAACGGGUUAAAUUCGUUAAGGAUGUUGACGUA